UUCCAGAUUGCCUGAUAAGGAAAGGACUGCUUUAUAUUUGCCCAUUGUGCUCCUGCUGUAUGCAAUUAUUGCUGGUUGAUGUCUGACUGAAAUGCGGGACCAGACUGAUCUCGUGCUAGUGAGCUGUUCCUGUUUUGCUUCAUCUUGUCUUGUAUUGCUGAAUGCAGGCUGCCAUUCUGCAGCUCUGCCUUUUGCACCCAGGAUCCUGUGUCUGCCAGCUGGGUGUCCUUCUGCCUGUCAGCGGAGAUCUGUCAGGGUCUGACCUGUGUUGCUCUACAUACUGCUCACUUAAAUGUCUAAGAAUGGGCUUUUUCACCCUAUGUUUCUUUUUGGAAAACCAGGACCAGCAAAAUCCCUGCCUGGGCUUGUGCACUGUGUUCCUGCUGUACCUCUUGGAACACAGUUGGCAGCUGUCUGGGUUGGCACUGAAAAGUGCCGAUAGCAUCUGUGGAUAAUGAGCCUGAGAAGAGCAGUUAAUGAAGAUCUUGUUUCAGAAACUGUGCUUCUUUCAACCCUAGAAUAGCCAGAGACAUGUAGUACAUGAGCACAGUGUUCAUUGCACAGUGCUAUUUUUGUCCCUCUCCCUUUUAACACCUUUCAACAGCUUGCUGUGUGGAACCCCUACCCCAUCUUGGUCUGGUAGGGCGCAGCAGUGGUCUCCAAAGCAGAGGGAUAUGAACCCUAGGUGGUGCGUGAGACAACCCGCUAGGGCACAGGAAGAAAAUAUGUUUUGUACCAUUAAUAAACAAGAUAAAAUUAUAGUUCUAAAGCAUUUUAAAUAAAAAAUUAAAUUUUUGGUUUCUAUUUUUAUGUAGGUUUUUAAAUCCAUGUACUAUUUAGCUCAAAGGUUUGUUUUUACUCAGAGGGUUGAGCAACCAAAACAAUUUGGAGGCCACAGGCUUUUUAAGAAAUCUCAUAAAGCAGACACCUGCAGACUCUUCUGUUCCACAAAGAUCUAGUCUGGUUUUCCUCUUCAAAUCAUUCAGCCCCACCAGGGCUGUCAUUUUCCUGAUUGUCACCUACACAGGUAUUUCAAGACUUCCUGCCAUAUAAUUUUCAGUCCUGCCUGGAGUCUGUAUAAAUGGUGGUGUAAUCACCAGUUUGGCUGGGAUAAUUUGCUGCAUGUCACCAGCAGAGCAGGAAGUCAAACCAACCAAUCUGUCAAACUUAUGAGGGCCUGCAAAAGCCUGGGUGGAGACAUGUAAUAAUUCUGCACAGAAAGAGUAACUAAAUUUCAAGUACCAAUUUGCCAGCUGGAGAUUUGCUGGGAAAUCAAAAUCUUUGUUAGAAAAUUAUACUGACAGCUAGUGGUAAACCAAUACAGUGCUAGAGCAGACCGGGUGUGCUGUUUGUCCUCAGCCACAGGCUUGGGAAGGAUUCAUUCUCUCCUUCUCAUUUUGUGCAAUGCAGAUCACCUUUCUUUUACGUGCUGCUUGUGGCUGCCUUAAGGCCUUUGUGACAGUGGCUGUAGCUUGCUGAGAGGCCAGUGAGAUUGAUCUCACCUCCUUAGGUGGACAGUGAUCUUGGGUGGAAGGUUUAGACCCUACAGCAGUUCUCCCCUGGUGAGUGCAGCUCAGUGUAGCCACUGACACUUAACAAGGUUGGGCUUGUACAGAAGGAGGUCAGUAACUAAAUUCAGAAUGACCUACUUAGACUAUGUGUAUUGAGUUAGUAGCUACUGAUGAAAUUCAGUGUAAGAGCUACCAGGCAGUAAGAAAAGAAAAUUAUGGUGACCUGUGUACGGUCACCUUCAUCUGUACUCUUUCAGAGCAAGGAAGUUAAUGGGUAAAGGUUUGGAAACUGAUGUAUCUGAACCAUGUAUGUUAAAUUUGAAGUUGAUAAAUGCACGGAUUAUGCCUGCCUUUAAAAAUCUGACUGUAAAAGUACAGGAGAAAAUUAUCCUCUACUGGUAACAAUAAAAAAGUUCUCCCCUGCCCCCCAUUUCAAAGUGUUUGCCAACUCAUGUACCACAGGGAAUCAUGAAGGAGGAAUCUGUGAGGAAAUAGAGGGGGGUUAAUGUGCUCUCCUUAGUAAUGUGUGUGUGGGUUUUUCUGAGUAUCAUUUGGCAUUUUAUGCAUUUUAACAUGAUGGCAGUCACACUGUGACAUAAGCACAUCUCCUUGAAAGGCAAUGCAAAAUUUGGGUUUUGUUCUCAGAAGUUUCUUCUCCAACCUUUGAGAACAGAAACUUAGAUGUGGGUGUUUUUUGUGGUUGGCAAGGGCUGAUAUGAAGAGAGGAACUGUGGCCCAAGUAGUAUACCAUGUCUUAAUCCCCUAAGAGCUUUGCAGUUGAAGACUUUGAUUGAUUUUGUGAAGUGGAUUAAUAGCUGGUAAGACCCUGCAGAACAGAGGUGAUUUAAAGUGAUGGGAGCAUCUCCACAUGUGAACCCUGAAUGAUGCAGAGUCCUGCUAGAAGGUUAGUUGCUGUAAAAAAUAUGAAAGUAUGAAAACUGAAAAAUAACAGGGUGUGUGAAAAAUAAUAAGGUGUGUGAAUAUGGAAGGGUUUUAUGUAGCAAGUAACAAUGUGAUCAAUGCAUUGACACUGGUUGAUUUGAAGAGGAAAGAAACUCUACUACUGUGUGUUUCUAAGCUGUUGAAACCAACAGCUUCUGGUAUGGAUAGAGCCUGGUUCUCACCCUGCACAUGUUCUUGGACCAGCAGUUUAUGCACUUCAGACUACUUCAAAGUCUGAGGCCUGCUAUAAAUAGGACAUCCCAAACAAAAACCAAUAGCCUCAUCAAAUUAUUUAAACUAUCAUUAGCAGGCAGAAAAUUAUUUGUAAUCAAAGAUUUGUGCUCUCCCUAGUCUAUUCCCAGCCUCUUGGUUCUUAUCUAUAACAUCUAAGUUAACUAGAAAGAUCUCUCAAAGUGAAGCUGGCUGUCUCUGCACUGUGUGCCUUUGCUACUCUUGAAAAAAUAUUCUUUCCUGAGGAAAUAACCAGCCAUUCUUUUUAUGUAGCCAGCAUUUGAUAGGGCUGUCUUUGAAGGGAGGUCGCUGUGGGGAACUUUGGUCAUUCCUUCCUAAUCUCAGACAUAACCAUCUCCCAAGGGGAGGGGCACUGGAGCAGCAGGCAGGCAGAACACAGCAGCUGUUCUUGGUGAUCCAUGCUGCAUGACCUCUUUGUUGGUCUGGGGGUAAAACUGCUGAACUCAACCCUUUUUUUCUCAUUUUUCAUCAAGUCUGUGGUGAAGCCAGUAAAUGCCAGAUGAGUCACUGUGGCCAUGGAUUUGCCAUGAACCAAAAGCCACUCCUUGCCCCUACACUAGUGCCAGGCAGUGCAAUGUGUAUAAGGUGCAUCACAGGAUGUGUGGACACAGCUUUGCCCUGAACUGAGACCAGUGCUGCACCUUAUGCCAGUCUUCUGAAUUGAAAUUCUAGAGGAGCUCAAACAGAAAUACAUAUUUAGGGCCAUAUAUAUAAUACUGAGCACAGAACUAUUCAAGGCAUUUAUUUUAAUCUUUGCAACUUGAGUGUAAUAUCUUCUUAAAUCAAAAGCAGUGUGCCCAGCAGGUUGAGUGAGGGCCCACCUGGAGCUCUGCAUCCAGUUCUGAGGUCUCCAUCACAAGAAAUACAUGGAUUUGUUGGAGCAAGAUGGGAGGAGGACCAUGAAAGGAUGGAGCACCUCUCUUUGGAAGACAAGCUGAGAGUUGGGAAUUGUUCAGCCUGAAGAGGAGAAGGCUCCAGGGAGACAUGAUUCCAUCAGUACUUAAAGUGGACCUACAAGAGAGCUGGAGAAGGUCUUUUUAUCACAGCAUGUAGUGACAGGACAAGGGAUGAUGGCUUUAAACUGAAAGAGGAAAUAUUUAGAGUGGAUACUAGAAUUCUUUGCUGCUAGUGUGAUGGAGCAGGUUGUCCGGAGGUGCUAUAGAUGGCCCAUCACUGGAAGUGUCCAAGGCCAGGUUGGAGGGAGAUAUGAGCAGUCUUGUCUAGUAAAAGGUGUCCCUGCCCAUGGCAGGAGGGCUGCAACUAAGUGAGAUCUAAGGUUCUUGCAACCCAAACCAUUCUGUGAUUCUGUGUUUCUCCCUUCUGUCCCUAUGACGCACACUCUUCUCCAUGACUAGAUUGCAUUUUAAAGGAGGUGAUUUAAAUGCAUCUUUCCAUAUGCUGAAUAACAAGUGAAUGGUGGUAUCUAUCCCAGAGUAAACCUUAGUAGGUUUGGGGGCUUUUUUGGUUUGUGUUAAUAUCUUUUUCCUAAAGCCGCAGGUCUGAAGAAAAUAAUUCACACAGCAGUUAAAUGCAGCUAUUAUGGAUUUAUUUCCAACAGGGAAUGUAAGAGGAGACUGAAAGCUGAAAAAACUUCCCAGGAGCACAAAAUCUUGAUAAUUUAUUGACAGAGAAAUUUCGAAGAACAUCCAGAAGCUUCUGGUUUAUAUUUCUUCUUCCCUAAAUAUUUCCCCAAAAAAUUGGAGGAUUUUAAUUAAGUUGGAAUCUUGACUGUAUUUAUCACCAGUCUUUUAUGGAACCUGUCGUCCUAGGGCCUAGGGCAAAUGAUUUAAGUCACAAAACACUCCCAAGAGAUUCACUUUCAUGUUACUACUAGGCAAAGAAACAGAGAAAACAGAAAUAGUCCACUGACAAGACAACACAGGAAACCUGUAGCAGAAGGAGAAAGGAGGCUUGGGGUCUUAGGCAGUAUGCUGUAAACCAUGCUUGACCAAAACAUAAUAUUUCUGCUUUUUAUUACUUCAAAGCCCUUUUACAGGAAAAGAUUAUUUAUAAUAUAGGAACUAAUGACUAAAGUAUGCGUGUACAUUUCCAAGGGCAAAAAUAAUUCUCUAACCUUCUGCAAAUGUGGUGCUUUUGUGAGGCAAGGUCACUGCACAGUUUCUUCUGCUGUGCUUAAAAAUAUCUCACAGUUAUCAAGUAAACAUAUUGCCAGGUCCCAGAAUGAGCCUCUUGAGUGUUCUUGACAUCACAAAUAAAGUUGCCUCUAAACAAAAAAACAAGUAAGUAAUGUCAUGUUGACCCUUCUGAAUAUUAAAAUCUUGCAUUUUCCCCAUCUCUCUCAUUGAAAUUACCAUAAUUUUAUUUCAGCAGUUUUCAGAGAGAUGUCCUCUGUGUAAGAUCUAUUCCAACAAGGCCCCUAGUGAAGCUACCUCUAUGAGAAACCACAAAUCGCCCUAGCCUUCUUAUGAGCCCCCACAAUGCUGUCUGUGCCACCCUUCUCAGCCCACUGAACUAAUUGCUUACCUUUGUGACUAGCAUUUUUCUUCCCUAGAGUUACAUCAUGCAGAAAAACACCCGCACUUCAAGUGGCAUGACUGUACUAUUCCUUUGCAAACAGUACAUCUAUGUUUAAUUUCAGAGUGAAAUUUAAUGUUAGUGCUUAAAGCAGGCUAGUUCUUAUCCAAAGUGAAACUUUCUCAAAGUGGAAGGUCAACAGCUUUAUCAGAGCCAUCUCCAAAAUGCUUUUCCUAAUGAAAAGGGAGACAUUUUCCUACCUAAAAGUCAAUUGCACUUUGGAUAAAAAGCAAUAUUUCAUGUCACCUGCCUGUCCACGAGAUAUUAAUAAUCUGUGUAGCAUGCAAAAUACUCCUGAGCAUAGAAUUGCAUGUUAUUGAGCCUCAUUUCAUAACUAGCAUGAUUAUACUUGUAGGGAGGGGGUAAAGUACAGUUAAUACACACACAUGCAAGAGCUAUUCCAGCAGGUACUGCUGGGACUUGCUAUGUUAUGUUUUGAUUAAUUUAACUCUUCCCUAUCCACUGUUCCUCUCUCAGAGAUGGCUGAAACUCAAAAGAGAAUCUCUUUAAACUAACCAGAGGUAAAAAGCCAGGUUGAGAAGGUCAUUCCUUCAAAGUGCCAUAUUUUUGUGUAUUUGUUGUGGUGCCACAGGCACUAGCAAGAGCGCUCCCAAGGGAUAUUGCCCCUGGGAUACAGCCGGAGCAGUGGUGUGUUGCUGUGACAGUAUUGUCACCCUCAGAGCACUGGUACAGGUGGCAGUGUUCUGUCCUGCAGAGGAGAGUCUGGGCCUUCUGUGAGGAUCAAAGCUUCCUCCAGCCAUAGUCAGUGAUGUCGCCACACCAUCCUGUGCCUAAGAAAGCCAUGUAAAAGUCUUCUUGUCCCUUUUAAACUCUAACUUCUAAAGCAAGGGAUGCAAGUCUGGAAGUGUCUUGUUUCCUCCCAGCUCUCCCACUAGGGACUAGUCAGGGACAUUUCUAUACCUGUUGUUGCUUUAUAGUUGAUUUUUCCUCUGGUUCCUCAUCACCUGAAGCCAGUCUAUGUUAUAUGUGUUCCAGCAGUUUUUGCUGGGAGAGGAGACUGACUGUGUCCUCUGUUUUGCCACCCUCUGUUUUGCUGUCCAGGGGACAGAUGAGGUGUUGAAUCCAUAUGGUGGCUUUGAUCUAUGUCAUUCACGGGAUACAGAGUCCUGGGUGCAUGUAGUCUCUCUUUUCUGAUCAUGGUCUGAACAAAGCACUCAUCUCAGCUGUAUGGAAUGGGAAAUCUGAGCUGUGGUACACUCAUACUGAGGGUAUGUGGGUAUAGCAGAGAACAUAUCUAGACAGACAGAUAUGCAUGCACACGUACAUGGCAGCAUUUCAUCUGUGUGGAAGGAAAAAAACCCUUUAGCAUUAGGAAAGUCACUGAACAUGCAAAAGGUGAAUUUACCUUUGUGUGUAACAUCACUUGUGCUAGGAGCUGCAGCUCAGAAAGGUUGGUUGUGCUGCUGGAAGCUGCCACAAAGAGUGACUUACCACAAGAAAGAUACUUUAUUUUUUACAAAGGGGCUUGUAAGCAAGGAGACAAAAAAAAGGUUAUAAAGUUUAGAAAGGAGCAGGUUUCACUCUAUCGUUUAACAUAAUAGCAUGGCAAGAGAUUCUUCCUGGCAAGCCGUGGUAAAGGACUUCAAUUAAAAAAAAAACUCAGGCCAUGAUUUAAAUGUAACAUUUUUUGUUCAUAAAUUAAUCCCAAAUGACAAAACUAUGCAUGCGUUAGAGAGGAAAAAAGAAAUAGAAUAAUAGGUGGAUGGAGGAAAGAGACUGGUAUCAAACAUGUUUUUUUCUUAUUCUUUUUAAUUGUCCAAACCAGUGUCAAAAACCUAAAUAAUCAAAACUGAGAAGAAUCUCAGUAAUAGGGUCCAGAACUGAAUAAGCAUAACUUGCACUGUGAUUGUCCCAGGAUUAUUUAAAAUAACUCGAGGAACAGAUGUUAAGGAGCACCAGUGAGGAGCAUGAAUGUUAAAUGGCUCUGUCUCCUGUGCUGGAUGUGGCAGUGCCAGGCCACAACUUCCACCUCCACACCACUGCUUGAGUCCUGCUGCAAUUAACACUAAUCACUGCUUUGUCCCUUUCAAAGUAUAGCUGGGGACAUAUGUGAAGUCACUUAGUUCCUAGUGAGGGGUAGUUUAAUGACUGGUCAAUUUAAGCCCCAGUGGAGCACUUGCUUUUCCUGUCACAUGCUGUCACCAGCAUGGUGACUUCGGCAGAAAGGCUGCUCACUGAGCAGGGGAGAGCUCACUUGGGCUCUGAGCACCUCUCCACCACCCCUAGUCAGCGCAGAGCUAGAAGGAGCAGAGGUUGCCCCUGCUGUGUUAUUGUUCCUGUCUGCCCUUCCUGUAAUGGAGUAGGACCUCACAGUCCCCUCCAUCGAUCUGUUGGCAUCACUCCUCACAGCCACUUGUCACCUCUCCCGCAGUGCCUGGCUGGGCAGCACAGCUCAUCCUGAUAUGGAGGUGGCAGGGCAGCAGCAGCCAGUCCUGUGGGGCUGGCAUGCAGAGGAACCCGCUGGUGGUGGGUGAGGAGACAAAGCUGUCUCUGUUCCCUGCCCCGGGAGCCUGCCGUGCUCUGUGCAGAGCUGUUGCUGAUGGCUGGGUGCCAGAGAGUGACUGUGACACUGGGGAAGGGACAAUGGGUCCAAGGGCAGCAUGGAGUACCAGGCUUGCAGAGCUGGCUUUGAGGAGCAUCUCUUCUCUCACUUAAGCUGACUGGGUCUAAAAACACACUGGAGCAGAAACAAAUGCAGACCCAGCACUUUGUUCACACCCACAUUAUCAAGAAAGUGUUCAUCCAGAGGGACCUUGACAGGCUUGAGGAGCAGCCCCUUGUGUCAAUACAGGCUAGGGGAUGAAGGGUUUGAGAGCAGAGAAGGAUUUGUGGGUACCGGUGCAUAUAAAGCUGAGCAUGUCUCAGAAAUGUGCACUGACAGCCCAAAAGACCAGCCAUAUCCUGAACUUCAUCAAAAGCAAUGUGAGAAGCAGGUGGAGGGAAGUAGUUUUGCCCCUCUGCUCCUCUCUGGUGAGACCCCACCUGGAGUGCUGUGUCCAGUCCUGGGGUCCCCAGCACAGAAAGGAUGUGGUCCUUCGACAGUGAGUUCAGAGGAGGGACACAAAGAUGAUCUGGGGACUGGAACACCUCUCCUAAGAGGAAAGGCUGACAGAGUUGGGGUUUUUCUGUGUAGAGAAGAAAAGAGAAGGCUCUGGGGACACAUUACAGCACUUUCCCGUACAUAAAGGAGGCCUUUUUCUUAUGAAAGCUGGAGAUGUGUGUUUCACAAGGGCAUGAAGUGAUAGAACAAGGGGACCUGGCUUUUAACUGAAAGAGGGUAGAUUUGGAUUAGCUAUUAGAAAGCAAUUAUUACUGUGAGGGUGGUGAGGGGAACAGGUUUCCCAGAGAAGCUGUGGAUGCCCUAUCCCUGGAAGUGUUCCAGACCACGUGGGACAGGGCUUGGAGCAACCUGGUCUAGUGGGAGGCGUCCCUGACCAUGACAGGUGAGUUGCAGCUAGAUGAUCUUUAUGGUCCCUUCCUACCCAAACCAUUCUGUUAUUCAGGUUGAAGAUUUAAGAGCUAAUUUUUUCUGGGUGCUAUUCAAUUCAUGAUUUUGAAGUGCAUAGAUGGACUUGUUUCUACCACUGGUGCCUACACAGCAGCUUCCUUUUGCUGAUGCAUGUAGCACCCUGAUGUGGACACUACAGCCAUAUCACACAAAUCAUCCCAUCAGCUUGCACUGGAUUUGUGUCUGGUCAAAGCUCACUUUUCCAUGGCUGGCAGUGACUGUGCCAAUCUCAUGAGCAAACUGACAGGCUGGGGAAGUUUGGCCUGAUACAGCCUGUGAAAAUACCCAGCCAGCAGUGGACCUCUGCCUGAGCUGCUGAUAUCCCUUUUCUUUAGCUCUCCUUAGUCAAUUUAAAGCAUUAGAAACAAAUUUAUAAAUUGCAAAAGUGUCUCAUAAGAUACUCAGUUACUAUGCUGAAAUAGUAAGAGCAGGCUGUAAUAGCUAUUUGAUCAAGCAGUGGAAGCAUCCAUAUCAGUGGUUUGGCCAUUAAGAGCUCAGCUGAAUUUCUGGUCGGGUGCAGGACAGUGUGUUCUUCUUCCUGGGAUAGUGGCUGAUUGCUGCAGAUGAUUCCAGCUUUCCCAGAUUGCUAAGCUGCUGUUGUAGACCACAUGAUGCUACAACGCUUCUCACGACCUGUGAUAGCAGAGGUGAAGUUCUGCAUGGAAUGCAGCAAUGACACAGCAAUGACACAGCUGGUGCUUGGUGGGGAGUCUGAGUGCCUGGGGCUCAUGUGGGUGCGUGUCAGGGGCCUGAGAUGCCCCUCGCACUGGGCAGGUAGUGCUGGCAUGUGGAUGGAGGGCAGCUAAUGCUGCACUUGUUUACUGCAUGCAUGCUGCUAUUUCCAACGCUGUGACUCCAUCUGUGUUCCUUAGGGAGAUUAAGGCUGCCCUUAUUUCUGUGAAUCCUCAGCUGAGAUCAUCCACAGCUUUAGUAUCUGUGCUUUAGUAGGGCUGAAUCCAUCUUGCAAACAGGUUUAUAAUCAGUGCUGCCAUGAUGAUGAUGGUGAUGAUCUAUGGCAAGGGCACCCGAGGAUAUGCUGGGCACUAACAUUGACAAAGCCAUGUUUCUUCCCCAACCCCUUUGUAGAGCAGAAGAAUGCACUAGACAGUUGUUUCCUCUCCAGGCACUCAUCAAUGGGACCUCUGCCUAUCCAUCCCAGAGGAGAAAUUUCAGGAGGAUUCACACAGUGAUAAUAGCUGUGCUCUCUGCCAGCAGCCCUGGCUUGGUUGGCACUUCCAGCCAAGGUUCCUCUGUGUGGUGGGAUUGAACACCCAUGCAAAAGGCUUGGUGGCCUCCUUGGUGGUGCUGUCACAGGGGUGACACAUGACAUGGAAGCAGAUCGUGCUAAUCCAGCUGGAAAGUCAAAUAUAGAUAGAAAAACUUCUAUUUACUUUUGUAAGCAGAGAGGAUGGCCUUCAGGAGGCUUCAGUGAAUGGGGCUGCAAUACCUGAGAUCAUGUGUGAAGAGCUGUUCAGUGUGUGAUGGUCAUGUCAGCCCAUGGAACCACCUGGAUCUGGCUGUUGGUGCUUCUCAUUGUGCUCAGCGCAUAGCAUCUGCCUGGGGUACCAGGCACAUGUGGAAAGGGAUCCUGUGGAAAGUACUGCAGGUGUUCCUUUGUUAACACUCACAAUAAAGGCAGCAUGUGUCUCUGCUCUUUUCCACUAGCCCUUUAAUAGGGCAUUUUCCUUGCACUUCAAAACCAUAAUAUACAAUACUCUGAUAGUAUUGUCCCCUAUACUUUCAAAUAAAUGUGUUUAUAGAAUAUGAAAUGUUUAGUCUACACAUUCUUUUCUCAUUGUACUCCACUUCUUUUUCCUCUUGUAGAAACCUUUCAAAACAUGUAUUUAGGUCUAUCAUUAGCUGUUGAGUAUUCGAGGGUAAAAGCAGGUACUGUGUCAGCUUGACCCAGGAUGAUGACUCUUCUGCUGCUGAGUUGUGCAUUAUGGUGGAAGGACAGGCUGAAAGUGAAUUAAAACACAUCUGUGUUUUUUGUUUUUUCAUUAAGUGAGAUUUUUUUGUCGUUCUAGAACCAAAAAUUUAAGACUUUAAAUUUUUACUUGAAAUGUCAUUUUUGGCAAACAGUUUUAGUACUACACUUUGGCAGACCUCCUGUGCCUUUUGCAAAAGAGCAAAACUAGCAUAAUCCUGUGUGUUUGGAGAAGUACACUUGCUAACCCAGAUUGCUUUUGACCUAGAUGGCAAGCUCCUGCCUGCCUGUCUGGCUUGGUUUUUAACAAGUCAGCUCCCACAGUUUGGGCAGCUGCCGUAACCCCCUUUCUCCAGAAAGACAUUAGGAACUUAGGUGAAAUCUAGGUCAGCCAAAUCAGGGGGAGAAAAAAAUCAAAACUUGUGUCUGAAUAAAAAUGUAGAAACACUGCAUUUGAAAAGGAAAUUUCUCUGUUUAAGAAGUCUCUGUUGUGACAGUUCUGUUAAAGCAGGACUGGCAUUAUUUCCCAAAUUUUCAAGUUGUUCAAAUUUAUUUAUCUGUUCAUUGAUAUUUUACUAAGCAGUUUGCCAAAUGUUAUGCCAUCCAAGGCCGGUAAGUGUUGCUUGUGUCUAUACAACUUUAUUUUCCCAUUUCCAGUGGAUCACAUUUUGAGAUAUCAAGAAGAGAAGUUGUUUGUGGAGAGUCACAAAGGUACUUUCUUUGAUUACUUCUGGGAUUUUUUUUUAAUUGCCCUACACAGAUUACACUUGAAAAUAUGGGAAAAUAAUGGAAAAAAUAAUUAUCCAUUAGUAUUUUAUUUAGUUUUCCUAGUAUUAAAAAGUAGUCCCAUCAGAUCUUCACAUAGGCCAUGUUUGGUUUUUGCCCUGAGUGUUGUUCUGUAAAUAAUAAUGCUACUCUUAUAAAACCAGAGGACAAGUCUUCUGUCCAUCGAGUAUGUUUCAGUGAUGCUAAAACAGAAAACAAUGAAGAUUUCAAUGGACUCACUGAUUCAGCAUCUUAACAUAAUUUAACCAACAGGAUAUGACAAGAAGAUGCAGCUGACUUCUUUCAGUGUGUAACAUCUUUAGGCUUGCAGCUGAUUUGUGUAAACAGUUAUUUAUUCAACAAUCUCUUAUACACAGGAGACUUCCUGUGAACUACGUAAUUUGAGGCAGAAAAAACACAGUGAGCAAAAAUAUUACUGGAAGAGCCUAGAGCAUGAAAGGAAAACAAUAGGUGCUUUUCUCAUCUCUGAUCACCAGCAGCAACAUGUGUUGAGAGUAUUCAUCACAGAAGUUUGGUCCCAAGGCUAUAGCUGCAAAUUCAGUUGCUUCCCCCCUGCUGCCUUCAAGCUUAGUGCCUCCCAACCACUAAUUCAGCAUGAAGUAUACACAGAAACUGACAGGUGAUUGGGAAAAGCAGCUAUGACAAAUGACUGCACAUUCCUGAGCAGUGGAGAAAGAGCUUGAAAGCAAUGGAGGGAGGAAAAGGGGAAGAGGAAACAAGAAAGUACCAGAAAAAGAAAACAGUCUGAGGAGUCAAUAGCAAAGAUUGACAAGACUGGGAGUAUGGCACUCCCAUAAGGGGCAAAGUCGCUAGUUACAGAAAAAUGAGGUGCGUUGUCUCCUCCUCUCUGGAGGAGACCUUUUAUUUUUCCUUUAAGUGCAUACAUUCAUUUGAUAUCUGGGAAUAAAAAUGUUUCUGUCUUUUUAUGACACAAAUCCUGUAAUUUUUGUAAAGGGAAUAAAUCAGAAUAUAUGUAUUAAUAAUUGGUGGCAUCAUCACUACAUUUCCUGCAAAAUGAGCUUUAGAUUUUGCAGUACCACAAUCACGUUCACAAAAAUUAUCUCUAAUCUAGAGUACAGCUACCAGAUGGGAAACAAAAAGCUCACAAAUAAACCCACCAAAUGAAAGGGUGCAGGAGGCAAUCUCCACCUCUUCACUGGAAUGUCCCUGUAAAAAGGGCUGGUACUGGGGGUGCAUCUCCACACCUCCCACCCCACCACAGCAUCAUGAGCAGGUACAUUCCCAAGGGGUACAGCAAGCCUUGUAGAUACAGUGCCCUGUAGAUACAGUGUCUUGUAGAAAGACAGCAAGAUAACUUUAAAAAAUGCAUUAGUGAGAAUGGCUACAGGUUUAACAUUGGUCUGUAAUUUGUCAGCUUGUUCAGGGGAUGCUGCCUGUCUUCACUCUGACACCUUACAGCACCAAGCAGCACACUGCACUCUGGUGAUGCUCAGCUCAGCUCAGUUCAGCUCAGCUCAGCUCAGGCUCUGCUGCAGUGUAACAGCAGCUGAAGUGGUUUUACAGGUUCCUGACCCUGUCUCACACACAGCUGAGGCAAUGACUUUUCUUCAAGGACUUGUGUGCUUGCUUCUAGUGACUCCUCUCUGCCUGCAGUCUGUCCUACAAGUGUGUGCUCUGCAGAAGCCUGUGGUUUCAGCCCAGAUACAAUACCUUUGGGGAAGUGACCCAACUGCUUCUGUUUUGGCUUAUUUGUUUUUUAGUCUUCUACUCCUACCCAUAUCCUGUGUAUUUGCUCCUAGCUUGUUAAGAGGAUCUGUUUCUCCUCACUCCUACACAACUUUAAAGAUUAACUUUUUAUGGGACAUUCCAAAUAAUAAGAAAUCCCCACAAUGUCUGCAUGUGCUGACUUCUAUUUUAGAGUUGUGCUAUCAAAAUCAUCCUAGCUACAUGUCAGCACAGAGUUGUGCAUUUCUUGGGACUUGUAAGUUAGGCUGUGUUUAAAGGGAAGACAUGCUGUGUAUUUUGCCAGUAGCAUAUUAUCCUGGGGGUUUGCCCAUAACAUUUUCUGGUUUUCUCCUAAGGGCCUCUUUCACUACACUGGCAACUGUUCUUUUGAAUAAAACAAGCAUUAAGACACAAAAACUUAAGUUCAUGUCAUAUCCCACUUUGGCUUCUCUUACAUGCCCUAUGGGAAAUCCUUCUGGCAUAAGUGGCUGGCACUGCACCCAGCUUGUAUCAACCUGUAAAAUGAUGACAUUUAAUUGAAUAUAAAAGGUGAGCUGGUAUAGAAAUGUGUGAGUAGACAGAAAGAGGUUCACCAUACAGAUGUUCAUGGAACAAUUACUUACAGUCAGCAAAUGUCUUUAUGUGAACUUCACAGUAACAAAAUAAAAAAUGUUUUGUCAUGCUAAUGCUGUGGCAAGGUCACGUGGAAAGAAUACUAAAGAAGAUACUAGUGCAUUGGUGAGUUUUGAGAACAGCCUGCAGAUUUUCUGUCAGUAUUUGGCCCCUGGCCAUUGUAUUUAUUUUAUUGAUCUAGUUUUGAAAUUAUGAUCUUCUGAUGGCAGUGGUAGAUAAGCAAUUAGCACAGAGCAAGCUACUUAUUCUGCAGUAGUGCUCAGAGGCACAGAGUGUAUCACCAUUUUUUCCAUAGAGUCUCUGUGUUUAAUUGAUAUUCCCUAAAGGUGGCAGGCUCUAGUGCUUGCCUUUUCCUUCUUGAUCACCCUUUCAUUUAAUUCUUUGAUUUUUCCACUGUAAUCCCCCAGAACUGCUAAAGAGGAGGAGGAAGUAUUCUCUGCCCAUAGCUUGCCUGUUUCUGCCAUAGUCUCUUGUGUUUAAUCAAAUGUGUGAUUGAGGUGUGAAACUGUGAUACUCAUAACUUGAUAUUUUCUUAUGUCAGAAGUGUCCUAAGUGAAAAAGAGGUUGGUUUCAUGGAGACUGUCAUUACAUUUUAUGCUUCUUCAGGAAGAACAGUCUGAGUUUCACCUUUCAAACCCUCUCCAUGGCAUAAGAGAUGCUUGUGCAGUUUGCCCUGUGGUGUGGCCCAGGUGUGCAGCCACAUGUGGGCAAGGGAUUGAAGGCAGAUCAACUGCAUUGCAGAAGGUCUGUUAUAAGCAGUGUGUUUCCCUAAUCAGAUUCUGCUUUACCACAGUGUUGGAAACUGUUUUGUGCUCCUCAACAUCUUUUUCACUGUGUCUCAUAGAUGCUGGGGAAGCAAGGACAGUUCCCAUGCUGCAUCAAUGCACAAAACAAGCUCAAUUAGGCAGUCUGCUUCUAGCUACUGCCUCCAAACUCCUGCUUUGGGGCAGGAUAUUUCUGUGCCUUGAAAGGGGCAGCUGUGUCAUGAUGCCCUUGCUCUGCUUCUGACUGGAAGAGCUGGAUUGCCAGCCACAUUUGGAGACAACAGCACAGACAGAGCCUGAUUUGGGCUCAUGAGUCUCUUUUCGGCACCAUAAGGAGUGCAGAGAGCUGCCAAGUUCCCUGUUAGGGAAAAAUCAGUGGAUGAGAGGUAAAAUAAUUUCAGGUCACUGUUCUGUCUCAGAUUCUAACAAAAUGUUCUGCUUUGAUUCACAAUCCAUGCUCUGUUUCUUUGUCUCCCGGUCAAAGACUCAGGCAAGACAGAAUGAUUGCUUUUAUUUUUGUGGAAGCUCUUGUCAGACACCACAUGGCUGUGUCCUAGUUGCCCCAAAUCAUUCUAGUUUCUGGCUGGUUGUGUGAGUUACCUGAUGAGCUUUUCAGCAGUUCUGUACAGGGACCUGCAUUUUGGCUGAAUUGGCCUUGAAAAAAUCCUCACUCUUAUAAAUAUUUUGACCUGCUGCUGGGCUAUAGAAAUCUAUUCUUAGAGCAAAUGAUGCUAUGGCAACUGUCCCUGCAAUAUGACACAGUAGCAAGAAUUCUGUCUUCCUUUAAUCUGUAGCUCCCAAAAUACCUUCUGCACAUCCCAAGCCACCUGGCUUUCCCCACCCUCUUCAGAUCCAGGGAAGCAGCUCCUUCCCAAUUUAUUUUUCUAGUUCAGUCUGAGGCAAAACUGUCUUAAGCCAAUUUAAGUAGAUCUGAAAUAACAUACUCAGUCCCAGCUGUCAUAACCUAUAUUGCAGGAUAUUCCCCUUACUUUUCUAUGACACUUUCCCAGUUACUCUUAUGAUCUGGUUCCCCUCAGGACUUCCUAAAUAAUCCUGUGACAUGGGCUCUAUCAUACCCUAUUUUCCUCUUUGUAUCUCCCAUAAAAGGUGAGUUGUCAACUUGAAAAAAUCUGUUUGCACUUUUUCUUUCAAUCAAUAUAACAUGUUAUUUAUUAAUUUAUUUUCAUUUAUUACAUGUUAUUUAUUCUAUUUUACAUACAGCCUUUUCUGUCAAGACUUACCUCUGUUUUAUUUAUUGAUAUAUGUCAAUUAAAACAACUAGAUUUUUUGGAGCCCAUAAAUAUCAAGAGCUUGCUUCAGUUAGAAUGUACCUAUGCCCAUCCAAAGAGAUGGGCUCAUCCUUAAAGAGUUGAAAACCUGGUGUUAUGAACAUGCUCAGAACUAACCAUUACACAUUCAGGACUGUUAGCAACAGACUUAAAGAAAAAUCUGAAAUUGUUCACCUCUCCUGAUCCACGCUUGUUACCUCCUAAUUUCCCAAGUACACUGUGGGCUUGUACAUGGCAUCCUGCUAGUAACUGGGAGCUGCAAGUGCUGUUUGCUUGAGUACUGAGCCACCUACAAAUUUCACAGCAUUUGGUGAAUAACUGAAGGAUUUGUGUGUUCAGUACAUCCCAUAUGCCGUGACUGUCUUCAAGUGGCAAUACAGUGACAGCAACAAUGAAAAGUUCUGCAGAUAACAGAUAAAUUCACCUCUGGUGUAACCGCACUGACCAAUGACCUGCAGGAGGAAAAGUAGCACACAAGGCUGUGGAAUGUAAUGGGGUUGCCACUCGUGUGUGUGUAUGUGUGUGUGUGUGCCACCGAUUGUGCUGAGACGUGGCUGAUAGUAUCAUUUACAGCUCUUCAGUGGAGUCCCAUGGGCAUUAGAAAAGUAAAUUGUCGUGCUAAAAUGUGGGCAUGAACAAAAAUACUUGCCCUGAUUUCUCUGUAAUUAUAAUAACAAUUUCUAGCAUAAAUUAUAUUAACCUUCUUCCUCUCAUUAAAAGUGUUUUAACCCUUAAGAAGGAACAGGGUAACAGACUGAGCAUAACGUACCGUGUUUUAAGUUGAUCACUGUGCCUCAAAUUCCUUCUUAAAUUAUUUUACUGAAAGCCCUUUAGGGGCACUAUCCUUUUAUGCAAUGCAAUGUACUGGUACUUUUGUAUCGAGUUUUCCUUACUGGAAUGUAAAUCCUCUAAAAUACAUGCCGUUCACAUAAUGCCUGUUUCUUCCAGCUCUCCAGUUGUCCUCCUGCACCACGAGAGGAUGGACCACCAAGCAUUAGUGAGACAGGGGAAAGGCCUAUGUGCUAUUUCAGCCUUCCACAACACACAGACCUGGAAUGAGUGCUGCCAAUUUGCAUUCACACUAACCAAGUGCAAACAGAGCAAACUUCCUGAGAGCAGGGAAGGACGCUGAUGUCUGCAAGGACACCAGGCACUGUGUGGCAGCUUCACCUUCCCUGCACAGACUUCCUCACUGAAGAGAAAAGUUUACCCACCUGCUCCACUUCAAUCUGCAAGAACUGAGAUUUCCCAAGCCACUAGUCAACUGCAUCAUGACUGGGAGCAGUGGUGGUUUCAUCUCUUCUUUAGCAUCUAUUUUCUAAAUCCAGUGUUGCUCAGUCUUUCUCACACAAGAUCUCCUGCAAACUUCCUUUUUUUCCCCUUUAAUAAAUCUUGCCAUUCAAAAUCA